GACGAACGCUGGCGGCGUGCUUAACACAUGCAAGUCGAACGGAAAGGCCCUUCGGGGUGCUCGAGUGGCGAACGGGUGAGUAACACGUGGGUGAUCUGCCCUGCACUUUGGGAUAAGCCUGGGAAACUGGGUCUAAUACCGAAUAGGACUCCGGACUGCAUGGUCUGGGGUGGAAAGCUUUUGCGGUGUGGGAUGGGCCCGCGGCCUAUCAGCUUGGUGGUGGGGUGAUGGCCUACCAAGGCGACGACGGGUAGCCGGCCUGAGAGGGUGACCGGCCACACUGGGACUGAGAUACGGCCCAGACUCCUACGGGAGGCAGCAGUGGGGAAUAUUGCACAAUGGGCGCAAGCCUGAUGCAGCGACGCCGCGUGAGGGACGACGGCCUUCGGGUUGUAAACCUCUUUCGGUAGGGACGAAGCGCAAGUGACGGUACCUACAGAAGAAGGACCGGCCAACUACGUGCCAGCAGCCGCAGUAA
rnacentral:rRNA from 1 species